rnacentral:rRNA from 1 species
CGAGCGGAAAGGCCCUUCGGGGUACUCGAGCGGCGAACGGGUGAGUAACACGUGAGCAACCUGCCCUUGGCUUUGGGAUAACCCUCGGAAACGGGGGCUAAUACCAGAUAUGCACAUGCUGCCGCAUGGUGGUGUGUGGAAAGUUUUUCGGCUGGGGAUGGGCUCGCGGCCUAUCAGCUUGUUGGUGGGGUGAUGGCCUACCAAGGCGACGACGGGUAGCCGGCCUGAGAGGGCGACCGGCCACACUGGGACUGAGACACGGCCCAGACUCCUACGGGAGGCAGCAGUGGGGAAUAUUGCACAAUGGGCGGAAGCCUGAUGCAGCGACGCCGCGUGAGGGAUGACGGCCUUCGGGUUGUAAACCUCUUUCAGCAGGAACGAAGCGCAAGUGACGGUACCUGCAGAAGAAGCGCCGGCCAACUACGUGCCAGCAGCCGCGGUAAGACGUAGGGCGCGAGCGUUGUCCGGAUUUAUUGGGCGUAAAGAGCUCGUAGGCGGCUUGUCGCGUCGACUGUGAAAACCCGCGGCUCAACCGUGUGGUCUGCAGUCGAUACGGGCAGGCUAGAGUUCGGUAGGGGAGACUGGAAUUCCUGGUGUAGCGGUGAAAUGCGCAGAUAUCAGGAGGAACACCGGUGGCGAAGGCGGGUCUCUGGGCCGAUACUGACGCUGAGGAGCGAAAGCGUGGGGAGCGAACAGGAUUAGAUACCCUGGUAGUCCACGCUGUAAACGUUGGGCGCUAGGUGUGGGGGGCCUCUCCGGUUCUCUGUGCCGCAGCUAACGCAUUAAGCGCCCCGCCUGGGGAGUACGGCCGCAAGGCUAAAACUCAAAGGGAAUUGA